rnacentral:misc_RNA from 1 species
CACCACUGACCUCCAAGGCAUUUGCCUUCUGACAAAAAAGCCCGGUCUUCCGACCGGGCUUUUUCAUUUGAUACG